UGCUGGAGAGGAGGAGGAACCAGAUCUGCUGGAGAGGAGCCACUGAAGAGAAGGAGGGGGAGGAGUGUGUGGAUUGGGGGCUGUUUCUCUCUCUCUCUUUCUCCCCUCUUACCUGUUGGCGCCAACAUGAUUCCAGUUUCCCGCCAAAACUCUGUUUCCCGCCUAAAACAGUUCCCCUGCCUGCCUGGCAAGCUAAGGCGUCCAAAAUGGACUAAGGCAACGCCUCGGACGCCUAGGCAGACGCCUCGGACGCCUUAUAGCUUAAGGCGGACGCCUUAGACACCCACCUAAGGCGAGGUGGACGUCUUGCCCUCGCAGGGCGCCCUGACGCCUAAGCGUCGCCUAGGCGACGCCUUAGGGACGCCUUGAAAACAGAGGGAGCACCUCUAUUUUAUAUGGAAUGCUGAACUUUAUAUGGAAUGCUUAAUUAAGUUCUGAUAUCAAUUUCCAUUUAUGUAAUGAGUUGGAAAUAAAGAAAUGAUUAAGAAAUAUUCAUCUAGCAGAUUCUUAUGAAUGUGCAAAGUUAGGAGUACAUUGAAUUUCUAGAUGUUUCCAGCCUACCACAUUUAUUUAUUUGCAUAUAUUUUCCAAUGUAGGUUGGUAGCCUGUUGCUCAUUCCAUGCAUCUGCUCUACUGCUGGCCUCUGCCUCCUCGUUCUUUAGGAGACGGUACAAGUCAUGGAGAAUUUGUGCAACCUCCGUUCCUUUCCGACGUGUUGUGAGUUGUUGAAGGAGCGAGAGGACGCAAGACUGGGAUCAAAGCCGAGGUAAGACCCCUCCUCAUUUCCAUGCAUAUUUUUUCUUUGGGAGAUGCUGCCUUUUCUUGACUUGGCCUGCUGUCAUGUGUGCGUCCAUGUCCAGGUUGGACCGGUGAUGGCGGCUGCAGCGGGACGGAUGACACAGACAAAAAAGACAGUUCCUCAUAUUUGUCUCCGAUGAAAAAAGAUCAUCUGGUGACAAACACCUCCUUCUUUUUUCUAUAUGCAUCCUCCCAUGACAAAACUUGUUUCUGGACAGGGUAUCUUGCUGGGGAAAUAGACCCUGUAGUCUAUAUUUGUGCCUGUUAAGACUUUUUAUUGUUAUUGAAAGUGAAGCUAGCUCUGUAUAAAAGGGCUUUCGGUUGAUUAAAGUUUCACUGAAAAGAAUGUUUAUUUCAGUCCAUAUCUUAUUCCAAAUUCCCAUGAUCUAAUUGGUGUUCUAUGCAGAACAACACUUUUGGGUUUUAGGUAAUCUUUGAAUGGUCUCUAAAUGGUAAUCUUGCCUGACCACUGACUUUUUGAGUUUUGCCUUACAAGAGCAUUUCCAUGCAAAUAUAUAACAUGACGAUCUUGGAUUUCUUAUGGGUAUGAUAAUUUAUUUUUUCUAUAUGAUCAUAUGAGGUCAUGUGUAUUUUAUUCGAGCAAGUAAGGCAUAUAUCUGUUUCUUUGGAGAAUUAAAUAGGAGAAUUACUUGAACUCAAGCAGCUUUGUGGCAUUUGUUUAUGUUUAAAUUGUUUACAUUCAGAUUGGUUUCCUAAUUUCUAUUACACGGUUGGUCUCUGCAUUCCAGUUUGGUUUGUCUGUUGUAUAUAUAAUUGUGAGCUUUGUUUACUUUUACUUAUUAGGUUUCUUAGGGUCAUUCCUCCAUUACUGCUGCCACUGCUCCUUUGGUUCUUGGUCAUUGCUCUGACGAAUGUCUCCGUCCCAGGUAAUUUUCUUCUGCCUUUUGUUAUUAUUAUGUGAGUUGUCAUUGUUUUUACAUUGUAUGUUAUAUUUCCUGUUCCUUUGGCUUGGAUAAUCCGUCUUUUAUUCAUCAUCCAUUACUGUUGUUGCUGCUCCUUUAGUUCUUGGUCACAUAUAAGCUGUAAUUGUUUUUACACACUAAUGAGGGCCUUUGGAUAAUCUGUCUUUGAUUCAUUUUUCUUAUCAGAGCUCAGUUAUUGAUAUUUCAAGCCAAGUUUUUUCCACUAUUAUAAUAAAUUGAGGAGUGUUGAGAAGAAUCUAUUUGGGUUGCUCUCAUUGAAUUUCUCAUUAAGACAUGCACUCAGUUCUGGUUUAUCAAGUUAUGUAUAAUAUGUAUAUGUUGAUAUGCAUGGCAUCACUCAAAUGUGUGUAUUCCUGCUGUUGAAUUUUAGAAUCAGCACUCUGUUUUCUUUUCAAGCAUCUCUCGAAACCAUCUUUGAGAAAAAUUCUUUACUAAGUAAUGAUUUCUUCUUUUCUGUAGUAUUCCUCAAGUUUAUGAAUGAACUGAUAGAUGUCAUCUACUGCCUAUUAAGUAGGCUAUGCAAAAUAUGUUAUCAUGUAACUUGUACCCAUGCAUCAGUGAUAAAGCUGAUAAUUUUCAUUUUAUCUCAGGGUUGCUCCGUCCAUUUAUCUCUUUUUAUGUUCAGUAGUGAAGAGGGUUAUAUUCCUAACUAUGCAGAGAUUAUUAAGGGUGUUAAGUUGCUUCUCAUAAGUGAUUGGGACUAUGAGAUCAUUAAGGGGCAUUGAGCCGCUGCCCAGAGGUAUACUUUCUUUUAUUUCUUAUAUAUUUCAACCACUUAGUUUUGUUGUCUCUAAACCAUUUUUGAUGACUCAAGUUGAUCAUACUAUUGUGAGAAUCUUGGCCAGGAUCAUUCUUUAUAUCAUGUUGGAUCAUCUUAGAAUUCGUAGAGCCAGUUACCAUCGAAGGAUGUACUCAUAGAACACAAUCAGUGUAAUUGUGCUUUUCUACACUUCUGCCUAGAGCAAUGGGAUAUGUAUGAUGUAUUGUAUGGCUACCCUCUAAUGCACUACUCAGCCUCCUGUACAAAUGACUUGAUCUAAUUAUUAUGAAAGACAUGUGGAGUGUGUUGCUUUAUAUAUACAUAAUUUGCUAUAAUUCUGAUUUAUCAUAGUGCAUAGCUUUUGAUCUAUU
rnacentral:lncRNA from 1 species